UGAAAGCCCUCCAAAAUGUACUCAACAGCCCUGCUCAGCUCUUCUAAGUUCAAGGCUGGCCUUUCCCGUCCUUUUCCUAAUCUCUAACAUUUUGUCUGUAUAACCAUUACUACAUACUUUGCUGCCUUUUCAAUGAAAUGUUUACUAUGACCAAAUAGUACUCCCAAUCAACUAGGGCACUAAAUCUUUAUCUCUACACAUAUGAGAGAGGGGAGGGAGUGGCUUUUUGCCUCUGUAUCAUUUAGCUCUUACAUUUAUACAAUCUCAUUUAGGCUGCUUUAGGCUAUACCUUAUUGAAUAAUGAGGGAUGUCAGGAAAGCUGAUUGUCCCUGCUUGAUUCUGGAUCUUUUGUGAAAAGCUAAUUGUCAAAAGUUAUUGGUCCUAACAAAGAUCCUUGGAGGAUCCAGACUGCAUGCUUCCUCAGUUGUGAGAAUUGUUUUCCAUUCUUUACUGCCUGUUCUUUAACAUGUUACCAGUUAAGGUCACCUCCUUAUCUCAUGCUAAGUAACAGCUGUAAUUUAUAAUUUCCAAGCUUCUCUGUAUCACGCUUUCAGAAUUGUGUUGCCCAGUCCCUUUGGUAAUACAGCUGUUCCCAUACGAGCCUGCUCAUUCCAAGAGAUCAUCAUCAGAAGCUCUAUUCAAGGUGUUCUAACCUUCAGAAUUUUAGACAAGUGAUGCCCUCCCGGUGAUUCAGUUAUGGUCUCUCUCCAACUUCUUCCACAGUGAAGACUGAUACAAAGAGUCCAUGUAUUGUAGCAUCUCCCUAUUUUCUUUCCAUAUUUCUUUUGCAAAGGAAUUAUGUCACCCAGGUUGAUUUCUGGUUUCUGAUGUGCUUAUGUUAAUGUCAUCACUCUUCUGCCUUAGCAAUUCCUGUUUGCUUGCCUUUUCAUAACCUGACAUUGUUUUGUCUGAGUGUCUAUCCUUUCUUUAGUUUUCUCAUUGGGAAAAUAUUUUAUAUAAGCUUGAUGGAUUUCUUCCCACUCCUAUUCAAUUAUGGUGGUCACCUCUUCUUCAUACCCUUUGUGUACAUUUUGUUCACCUGUCUGUUGCAAUUAUUUUAAUUAAGCUCCAGGGCUUAAAUAUUCCCCUUUUGUAUGCUUUGAGCCUCUGUUAUAAUGGCUGUGAAUAAUCUGCAAAUUCCAUGAAGUAACUGGAACUUUUCUUUUGACUUCCAUUUAAUUAAUGUCCUUUUUAAAAAUUCUGUCUUCUGCAAUUAAAGGUGAUGCCUACAUCCAGUUGCAGGAUGUUAAUGGGGAUAUAGAUGUCCAUCCCCACCCACAUUCCUGACCAAAAUAGUCACAAAUAGUUACUCAUAACUACAGCUAGAUUAUGAUGAAAAGCUUGCUAUGCAGGGCUACUGGGCAAUGAAACUGCCAGCACAGCAUUAUAAGGCAGAGCAUUGGCUAAUCGCCUUGGCCAUUGGGAUUCAAUCCCUAUUACACACAUGCACGCACACCCUUCAGGUUGAGGAUAAAGGGCUUGGUUUGCCCUCACUCUUACAGCAACAAAAUCUCCCUUGAGAUGCAUCACCAUGAUAUCCUAUUAUGCCCACUAUUUAUUCAUUUAUUAGAUUUCUGUCACACUGUUCAGCAGGUCCCCAAGCUCAUAAGGAUUUCUGAUCAUAAUUUUCUAAGCCCAUUCUAAUAUUUUAAAAAUAUUUCAUUGCAUGCAGCCACAGACACGGUUUCUUUCUUAUAUAAAAAUGGCAGAUAUCUUAUGUUCUUACAACCUGAUGUAGAAUUCAUGGCGUUUCGUAACCUUUUGGUUAUGGAAAAAAUGAAGUUGAGUUCAGUGUACUUCUGCCUUUGUGCUUCUAAAACUAGCCAGUGAUAAGUGGAAACAGUCAUUUCUACUUUCAGAGAAAGUAGUUCUGCUGAUCCAUCUCCAUCCGGAACCAAGUGUUUCCUCUCAUUUCCAGGGUUAUUCUUAGCUCCAAUUGUGCAAGUUGUCACUCCCACAAGUGCAGCAGAACCAGCUGAAGCAGAAUGGGGUUGUUAGAUACUUCCCAUGGAAUGCCAUCAACAUAUUAUAAUGUGUACAAAUGGAAGUUCAACUUGUUUUCUUUUCAUAGCCUUCCUGGAUUAUCUUUCAUUUCUUUUUCACCUUACUCCUCUGCUGAUGUAACUUGUUUGGCCAGCUGGUAGUUCUGCUAUUUCUGCUGGUGUGCAGGUUACAUGCUAUUGAUAUCUUCUCUGGGGGAAUAAACUCAUCAUAUGGAACUGUGAGAAGUACCUUAUGUUCACUGUAGUGUUAUGAAGGAAUAAGGCCCUAAUAUGGUUAUUAUUUCUGUUCUAGUGGACCUCCAAGGAAAAGGGAAGAGCAGAAUAGAGAAGAGAAUAGGGCAAUGUAAGGAAAGUAAACAGAGAAGUGAAAUAAGAGAAAUAAGUAAAAAGAUAAGAUAGGAGGCAAAUCUUCAAUCUGUAGCAAUCUGGCAGUAGAAUUUUUCUAAUUAUUUUUAUAGCAUUGCCCAUGUAUCUGGUGUUUUACCAAGAAGGGGAGGACAGGUCCCUUCUCUGUGUAGAAAUAGAUACAAGGGAGAAUAUGUGCUAAUUUAAAUGUUAAGCAGAUGGUACUGCAGAGAUGCUACUGUUUUGCUUCUACUGACUGGGCUGCAGUUUUGUGCCUUCCUAGUUCUUUGCUUCAAAAAAGCUUGUGAUACAGACAUUUGAGAACUUAGAUGUUUGCCAUCGUUUCUUUGUCCAGCAUCACAUCUCUUUUGUGGUGCAUUUUGCUAUAAUGACACAAUUCUUAAAUAGGAUAUGAUAUCACAGUUGGUUGCACGUUGGGGGGAAAAACAAAACAAUUGAAGGUGCCUUUUCAUUUUUCUCUCAAGCUUUCUUCUGACAGAGUGGAAUUACUCUUUCAAGUGAAGGAAGUGACUUGUUACCUGCAAUAGGAGGUCCGGUGAUGACUCCAAGCCCAGCAAGGAAUGAGGCAAGUCCCAGUGCACUGUGGAAUCUGGGAGCCCCUACAAGAUCUACCUGAAAAAGGAACCAGUAUUUAUUGUAUUGUGUGCUGUGUACAUUACAACAGUUUAAAAUGGCCAUAUAUUGUCAACCAUUUCAAAACUAUUCUGAAUGUUGCAUUUAUUUGCAAUUUUAGUGCUUGGAUAUUAUUGAAACAAGUUUUAUUUAAACUGUCAUUAGGAUGGAUUCUGUCCCUGACAAUUACACCAUGGCUGGCUAAUCCAUGAGACAAGUACUGGCUGAGUCCCAGGAGGAAGGGGAAGGAGAUGUUCAACUCCAGUAACUCAGGAAUUAGUUCUGGGUUUCUGUGUGCAGAAAGAGGCAUAGAGCUCUCAGCCCUCUAAAGGCUUUACAAGGGUUAUACCAGUGCAGAGCAGGGAAGCAGGGUGGUGAGGAGAGAGAUUCAACUAUGUACUCUGAGGGCCAAACUACAUGCAGCAUUACUUGCUUUUAAAACAAAGCCCUAAACCUGUGCCUGGAGAUUUAGACUCUAGUGAAUGU